rnacentral:rRNA from 1 species
CCUACGGGAGGCAGCAGUGAGGAAUAUUGGUCAAUGGGCGGAAGCCUGAACCAGCCAAGUCGCGUGAGGGAUUAAGGCCCUGCGGGUCGUAAACCUUUUUUGCCGGGGAGCAGUGGUCCGGACGCGUCGGGACCGGGAGAGUACCCGGCGAAAAAGCAUCGGCUAACUCAGUGCCAGCAGCCGCGGUAAUAAGGAGGAUGCGAGCGUUAUCCGGCUUUAUUGGGUUUAAAGGGAGCGUAGACGGGCUGUUAAGUCAGUUGUGAAAGUUUGGGGCUUAACCGUAGAAUUGCAAUUGAUACUGGCAGUCUUGAGUACAGUUGAGGUAGGCGGAAUUCGUGGUGUAGCGGUGAAAUGCUUAGAGAUCACGAGGAACCCCGAUUGCGAAGGCAGCUUACUAAACUUUGACUGACAUUGAUGCUCGAAAGUGUGGGUAGCAAACAGGAUUAGAUACCCUAGUAGUC